rnacentral:misc_RNA from 1 species
UGGGAGGAGUCUUAAGGUCGUACCAGUCGGAUCAGUCUCGAGAUAAUUACGGAUUCUGUUAACAUAUAGAUUCCAAUAACCUUGCUGGUGAAGAAUGAGCUAAUGAAUUUGUAACCAAAAUGUAAACCCAAUUUUAAAAAAGAAAAAAAAACAAAAACGAAAUGUCUUCGUUAUGCCUAUCUUACUCAGUUCUCUAUUCUAUUUCAAUUCGUUAAUUUAUUUUGAUCACCGGGGCUAGCCUUCCAUCUUUUUGUCUAAGAAUUCUUUAUUUAAAGAUGAUCGCAGUGAAUUUUAAAUCUAGUUGGCCUUGUUUUUCUUUUUAGUUAAAAAAAAUAGGUCGGCAUCAAGAAAUAACAACUCGUCAUGUUAAAGCGUGUUUUGUUUUGAUUAUUUGUGUUAAAGGCUUAAAGCGUGAUGGGUUAGCGACUUUUCAUUCGUCUCCAAUAUCAAUCCAUUACAGAAAAUGGAUUUUUUUUAUCAAUGCAAGUAAUUUGAAAACCCUAACAUUAAUUUUAAUUGAGCUAAAAUUAGUUAAAGUAUAUGGUAGCUAUAUGCAUUGCAACAUUUUUUAACUGUCCAAAGUGUAGCAUGUGCAUGUAUUUGUUUGAUCAAAUCGUUUCUUUAUAUGUCAGAUUUAUAUGAAUAUAUUUUAAGAAAAUAGAUAUUUCGUUGUUUCAAAUAAUCCUGAUUCACGCGGGUGCUUUCAAAAUUUUAAAAUGAAACCAGUAUCAGGUGCUUCGGCCAUCAUGGGAAAAAUUUCUGAUGUAAAUGUGUCAAGUCACCCAAUACUGCCAUCAUGUGAUUCGCAAAUUUAUUUGGGCGGUGGUUCUUGUUAUUAUUUUUAGAUUUAGCUGGUAACAACUAGCGAUGCUUAUGCUUGCGUAAGCGAAAAUAUCUGGCUCCUUAGUCCUUACGUCACAAAACAACUUGAAAAAAAAAUGUAAAAAUUGAUGUUCUCGAUUUCCUUGGAAAUCCGUAAUCAUCAUAUUUGAAUUCCACAAUAAAUAGAAUGUAGAAAACUAGGUCAUAUGAUUUUUUCUGAAAUAAUAUCCCUAUUGGUUGAAAUCAGAAAUAAUAUUGUUGCCACUUUUGCCGAACUGCACGUUUGAUUUAAUUAGAUUUUGAAAAGCAAUGAAGAUUUAUCGGAAAUGGUAUUUUGUUAUUCCUUAAAAAAAAUAUUAAAGGGUAUCUAUUUAACAAUAUGUUUUGUUUCGUUCGUGGAUUAAGUUGUUUUGUGUUUACCGCCUUUUGCUUCCGUGCCCCAACUCACGGAACCACGAUCCGAGUCCUUGUGCUGUCUGGUUAAAUUAUUUCAGGAACCUCCCGGUGUUAGGACGACGACGCUGUUGUUUGCUGAAAUAAUUGCUAUGGAUUCGUGUGAUAUCAUUUGAUUUCAACAGCAGAACGCGGCUAAAAUAAAAUUAUGUGUUAGUUUUAACCUAAAGUGAAUGAAAAUACCGACUGAAUACAAAUGAAUGUUUUAACUGUGUGUGUGUUAUUUGCAAUUUUUUUAAAUCGUGUUGUUAAGAAUAAAACCGAAGACAUGGACACACGGUAUAAUAAAGAUGAAGUGUGUGGAGCCACGAGCCAUAGAAGACCGAGGAUUUUUAGUUGCCAUGACAUUAUUCCUGCAAUUUAAUUUUCCAUUUUGUUAGUCCGCAGUUUUACCGUCUUCAAUGUUCUUCAAGAACAUUGGGAAAAAAGAAUAAAAGAUGGCCGAUCUACUGAAGUACUCAUCAUCCUCGUUGUGUAAAGGCGUAAGAUUCUGACAAUUUUUAAGGUUAAAUUUGAACUUACUUGCACCUUGCACGAUCAAAAAGCUGCGAUUCUAAAAGACUGGGGAGGCCAGGCAACUGCCAGGAAUCUGAAUAUUCUGGUAGCAUUAUGAGCACCCGUUCCAGGAGUGUUAGAAAAAGUUUGCAACCAACAUUUAAACAGCAGGGUUCUAUGCCUGAUAGAUGUGUACACAAAUUCAAAGGCAGAGAUGAAAAUUUGAAACUAAAUAAGACUGAUGAAAUGGAGAAUAAUUUAGAAGAUCCUACUUCCAGAGUAUCUGAACCAAAAUGCAAGAGAGAAGAAAGAAAAAGAAGGGUGGACCUGAAGUGUUUCCAGCCAACAGAUUGGUUGUCUUCAAUAAAGCCGUGUAAAUCACCUUUCUAUCCUCAAGUGGGAGAUGAAGUCAUGUACUUUAAACAAGGUCAUGAAAUGUAUGUAGCUGCUGUGCAACAAAAAAAUCUUUAUGAAAUCAACCCAGAUUUACUUCCUUGGACUAAACAGAUCAUUCAGCAACAAGAGUGGGUUAAAAUCAUUGGUAUAGAGUUUGAGAUCAAACCACCGAGACUUGUAUGCUUGAAACUCGGAAUAAUCGAUCCGGUCAGUGGAUUGUUAACGCGAAAAUGUUUUUCUAUCGAAUAUCAUGAUAUGGACGACAUUCAGGAUUUCUUGGUGUUAAAACAGGAUUAUGAUAAGGCCGUUAAGCGCCCCUGGAAGCGUUUGCAACAAUUCCGAAGUCUCAUGAAUGAUGAUUGCGGAGUUCAAAUGUGGUGGGAAGGACAAUUCAUAAAAAGUGAACCAUUGGACGCUAAGUUUCCUGAGUCCAUGUUCUUGUGCUACUGCGUCAGGUGGGAUAAUGGUGAUCAUGAACGUCUUAGCCCAUGGGAAUUGGAAAAUAUUGAUCCAGGUAGAAGACCUUGUAGGACUGGUGCCAGUGUUAAUUUACUGCCGAUUGAGAUUUGUAGCUCGUUGUACACACCCCAAACGUGUGAUUGGCCCCCCCUAGGUGAUCGAGAUUUCGAAUGUGAUCGAAUAUCCAAAGGAAUUAGCCAAGUCAUGAGUCUUUAUGAGGCUAAACAUUUUUGUGCACCCGUCAACCUUGAAUUGUUCCCUGCCUACGCUUUUACUGUCAAAUACCCAAUGGAUCUUUCGACUAUCAAAGCUAGACUUGAACAUCGCUUUUAUCGUCGCUUAGCUGCAGUCGAGUACGAUGUUCUUCGUAUACGCACCAACGCGCUCAUAUUCAACGAUCCCGAAAAAUCUGAUAUUGUUAGAAACUCUUCCAUCAUCUCUGACUUAUGCCUGGAAAUUAUCCGAAACAGUGACCUUGAUAUCUCAACAUUUUAUUGUGAACUCCUGGAAAAGUACAAAGUUCAUGGAAUCAAAGUAAAGGGGUCAGUGGUAAAGCUCCCCGUUGCAAAACAUCAAAUCGAACAAUCGACUUCUUUCGCUCUUACUUUCACCAACGUUGUUACUGGUUCGAGCCGUUCAUCGACAUCAAAACAGAAAUUAGUAUUCAAUCCUACUCAGGGAUCUUCUUCAUUUGUGUCAUCUAAUCAUGCUUCUGUCAAGCUCUCCUCAUCUUUCACCGUUGAACCUAUUGUUGAUGAUUUGACCACGGAUAAUUACAAAACUAGUGAAAGCUUGACUCACCAGAACAGCCGCAACUCAGAGACUGCCACUACAAGCACAAUGAAAAAGAAAGUUACCAGUCCGAUUGGCGUACAAGUUGAGCAGUCGCUUAAAAGAAGGAAAACAACAUCGGUAAUCGCUCCGACAGCCAUUUCCAGCGACGAGCAAUUUUCAGGCACAACUAUUCAAGAGUGCGAUACUUCUUUGUCUACUUAUCUCAACCAAAAUGCACCAGUUACCACGAAGAAUGUUUUGAAAAGGAAGAGUGUGACGAAAGAAAAUCUUGAUACUACAUGCACUACGGUAUCUUCAUUGCCUAGGGUGGGCAGUGAUGGAAUUCUGGCAGUCAAUUCUACAGAGUAUGUCCAUUCCCACAUCGACUGCUCAAGUAUGGGAAUUUGCGAAGAAAGCAGCGUCCUCUCCCAAAAUGAGAUUUUUUCUCCAAUGAACAAUCAUCUGAACUUCACAAGAAUUCUACCAGCAGAAAAGAAUCCACGCUUGUUCAUUCCUAACAAAACGCCUGUUAGUGUUCCAAUUACUCCUUUUCCCACUCCUAUUCCUAUCGCCAUUUCCACACCUGUGCAAGUUUGUCCAGAGACAUCAUCAUUGUCUACAAACAUUUCACUGAAAAAAGCGGAUAAAUAUGCGUCGAAGAGCUUGUUAUCUAAAAAUCUAUUCGGUUCUGAGAAAAGGAUCAAUUCCAGAAAAUUGAAAUCGGGUGGAUGGAGUGUUUCAUUACACGACUUCCCCUCCAAAAAAGCUUACAUCCUAAUAGAAGAUAAAUCACCGCAAUCGUGUCUACCACAACAAGGUUCGUUGUUUGAAAGAGUUGAAAUGGAGUCGUGUUUUUCUUCGAACACUUUACAUCAUUGUCCCGAAUCCAAAACGAUAUCUUCGCCUUCAGUUACUCAAGAAAUCUUGACACCUGAUGCCAAAGUGAUGAUUGACUCAUAUCCUACCGUUUCGGCGUUUUUAAAUUUAGACACUAAAUCGAAACAGAGAGAAGAUCAUGCUCAAGUAGAAGAUCCCCGUGUUUCAUUUGCCAUUCCAUCGAUUCAAAGUCCUUUGUUUCCUGAAGAAAGUGAAUCAUCACCUUCAUUUCAAUCUGCGGAUGUACUUAUCGAACAAAUUCUUGCCGAAUCCAAACUUACUAUGCUGAAGCAGAAGACUAAGAGGAAGAAGAAAAAAAGUGAACUUUCUGCGUGUUUUGACUUCUCAAAGUUAGAUGAAGAUUGCCGAGAACCCUUCCAAAAAAAAUUAAAGAAGAGAGAAAAUUGUUUCAAAGAAAGGGAUUCUUUAGCUUCAGAUGUCAUUCCGCUCGAAGAAAUUAAAAAACAAUCACUAAACCCGGAGGUUACGCUGACUCCCACGAAUUUUGUCGACUACGUUUCGUAUGAAAAGGGUAUACUUCCUGUAAGUUUGAAAUCAAGACUCACGAUGGAACGCCAACUCAGUGUCUCUACAAACAAAACUAGUUCCAGGAAAAAUAAAGGCAAAUCCUCCGAAGCAACGGGUUGCAACAAACAUUCUGUGUUACCUGAAGAUAAUCAAUCACUUUUAUCUCAAUCCGCAGACGAACUUAUCGAACAAAUUCUUGUUGAAUCUAAACGCACUAUUCUGAAGGAGAAAGCUAGCAAGAAGUCAGAAAAGAAAAGGAAGAUAAAAUCCAAAUUGUCUGUUAUUCCACCUUUGUCGAAGGCAAACAAUGAUUGCCUAGAACCCUUGCAAGCAAAAUCGAAGCUCAAGAAAAUUCAUGCCAGAAUUGGACAUUUCCCCGCUUUAAAUGCGAUUCCAGUCGAGGAUAACCAAUCUGUAGAAAAUGAGGUUACGCUCACGCCUACGAAUUUUGUAGACGGUAAUUCAUAUGAAAAGGGUCGAACCACUUCUACUCUAAAGGAGUUGCCCGCGUUGGAAUGUCAAGUCGCUGUCUCUACAAACAAAACUGUCUCUAAAGAAAAGAAGCACAGAUCCUCUGAAGGAAUUUGUCACAACCAACAGUCUGUAUUUUCUGAAGAAAGCGAAUUUACUUCAUCUGAAUCCGUUGACGCACUUAUCGAACAGAUUCUUGCUGAAUCCAAAGGCGAUAUUCUGAAGCAGAAGACUAGCAGGAACAAAUCAGUAAAGAAGAAAGAAAGUAAAGUACGUGUCAUGCCCAUUUCGCGUUUGUCGAUGUUAGACAAAGAUUGCCAAGAACCUCCAAAAAGAAAAUCGAAGCACGGAAGAAAUUGUACCCGAGUUACCGAUCAUUCUGCGUUCACUGAAGAAGGCGGAUCAAUUUUGAUGCAAUCCGAUGAUGCAAUUAUUCAAGAAAUUCUUGCUGAAUCCAAACGUUCCGUUCUGAAGCAGAAGACCAGCAAGAAAAGGACGUCAGACAUUUCACGUUCGUCGAACAAGGAUUGCCACCAAAUGGGAGUAAAUAUCUCGGCUUUUAAGAGAACCCUCUAAAUUGUUGGGAGAACCCAGCCAAUACAGAUCAGCAAAUAUCUUCUUAGAAAAUAAGGGUCACCUACAAAUUCAUCACUCUUAAGUCUGAGGGAUGUUCUUAGCAUCAACCAAGAAGCCUAUAUCACUUAGAAGAAAAAGAAGACAAACAAUUGAAUGUUA